rnacentral:rRNA from 1 species
CAGCCGCCGCGGGAAGACAGAGGAUGCAAGCGUUAUCCGGAAUGAUUGGGCGUAAAGCGUCUGUAGGUGGCUUUUCAAGUCCGCCGUCAAAUCCCAGGGCUCAACCCUGGACAGGCGGUGGAAACUACCAAGAUGGAGUACGGUAGGGGCAGAGGGAAUUUCCGGUGGAGCGGUGAAAUGUGUUGAGAUCGGAAAGAACACCAACGGCGAAAGCACUCUGCUGGGCUGACACUGACACUGAGAGACGAAAGCUAGGGGAGCAAAUGGGAUUAGAUACCCCCGUAGUCCCUGUCUCUUAUAU